rnacentral:misc_RNA from 1 species
UUUCCGUAGGUGAACCAGCGGAGGGAUCAUUACCGAGUGUGAGUCUCUCAGCCACGACCUCCAACCCUGUGUUUUUUACACCUUGUUGCUUUGGCGGGCCCGCCUCGCUGGGAAGCCGCCGGCAGCUCACCGCUUUGGCGCCGUGCCCGUCAAUAGCCCCCUUAAAUUCUUAAUAAACCUGUCUGCUGAGUUAAUCGUAUUAUUGAAAAAAAACUUUCAACAACGGAUCUCUUGGUUCUG